AGUGGUUAUAGUGAAUAGCGAUAGGCAAAGGUUAUGUCCGACUUCAUUUUCACGCGUAACGGAAUCACAGAAAUGGAUACUCUCAGGAAUAAUAGAGAAUGAAUUACUAGGCACUACUCCAAGAAGCUAUUCUAGUGCAUUUCAAAUGAUCCAAGGAUUAUUUGCUGCAGCUUGUGAUUCAAAUUGCAGCAAUUCGACCA